UAAGACAAGGGGAGAGAGGAUUGACCAAAGAUCGUGCGUGGAUCUGGAGGGAUCCUUGCAGACCUUCUGCACUUGGAGGCCACAGAUGCACAUGACUCCAAUCUACGCAGUUGUGUGAUUUUUUUUUAUCUCCGGGCAAAGGCUUGGAGAAGGCAAGCCCUGGGACUGAUCCCAGGUGGGGAGUAUGUAAGGCAGGUGACGGAUGAGCAUAGAAGAAGAGGGAGAAGUCUAGACGUAGCCAACCUCAGGGCCGGUUGACUGUUGGGACCAGCGAUGCUGUGGGGAGAGACAAACCACGAAGACUCUCAAGCUUCCAAGUGUUUACGUCACUUGUUGAAAGUACAGGAUGCGGCUGAAAGAUCUGUGUGUUAUAGGGUGCUGCCUCGGCAGGACCAGCCCCGGAUCAGCGGAGGCAGCCACAGCGCCGCAGUUCUCUAGCAACCGGGGCCCCUUUUGCCAUGGUGGUGUCCCUAGAAUCACGAUGACCUCUGCGUCAUUACAUUACCAUCUCUUCUCUUGAAAUGCGGCCACAAAGACCCCUCUUAGGCAGAAGGCGGCGUCUUAUCUGCUUCUCCGGAGCACCAUUUAGGAACAGGCAUCCCUGUACGGGAGAUUUAUUUCCUUACUAGCACUGUUUGUUUCCCCCCACCCCGUACUCGUCCUAAAGUUGCUAAAAUGUGGAAGUCAAUAAUGCAGGCACCGUCCUCAGGCUGAUAAUGAAGACGGAUGCUGCUAAUACUUCUUACGACUGUGCUGAAUACAGCUGUCAGAGCAGGAGGGAAUCCGAGAAGGUGGUGGGCAAUUAACCUGGUUAAAAUUAGGCCAAGGAACCCAAGGUUAAUGGCCCUGGGAAUGGGAACAUUAAUGACCACUGCUGGUCAAGCCCCUUUUUGUCUUACUCAUUAGAGAUGCCUUUUACAUUCUAUGAGAUCCUGGCCUUUGGCCCUGGGACCAAGGGUGAUGGAGAGCUGCCACUCCCCUGGAUGACGUGUUAUGCAUCCUGACAGCUUCCACCUAGCACUUGAUCCCCCAUCACAACAUCCCGCUACAGUGUGUAGCAGGUUCCAAACAUGCCCGCCAUCUGCUGAGCACCGCUGACGAGAGCUAAGACACACACAUGAUGCAUAUUCAUGAACCAAAACCACUCCGGGUUUUCAUCCAACAGACUGACAAAAGUGUGACAUCCCCUUGCUUUCACCUGUUUGGUGCUGGUGUUCCAUUUUCUACGCACUCCUGGGCGAGCUGGAAUAGAAUCUUUAACCACUCCGGAAUGGGUCCUCAGUCAUAUUUGAUGGUGACAGAGUUAUUAACAUGUGAAUCUUCACGGCCUUCCACCCUGAAGUGAUUGACAAAGAGUCCACUCUCUAUCUCUUUUUCCCCAUUUCCUUUUACCCUCUGAAAGAGAAGUCUACCUUUGCUGGAGCUAAUCUCCUGUGAUAAGCUUUUGUGAUGUAAAUUUGGGACACUGGGUAGACCGAGACAGAGCUGGAGUAGGGGCGAUGAGGCAUAAACUUGGGGGAGAGAAGAAAAAAGCCCAGACCCAGCAGAGGAGUGAAAACAGUCCAAUUCAGGAUGGGAGCGAUUUGCUGGGGGAAGCUGAGCCCGGGGCUGGAAAAGAAAGACAUUUCAAGGGAGCUGUGUGGUGUACAUGAGAGAGAAAGCACAAGCGGGGGAAGGUAGAUUUUAAGAAGUCUGGUUGCUGUUAUCAAUCAGUCACUUUGGGCAUUUUUAGAGAGAUACAAAUAAACACUGGCAUCAGUUUUAAUUCCGUCCAGUUGUUGGAGCACUUCCUUCCCAUGGAGGACACUGGGAUUAUCCGGAUUAUCCAGUGGUGUUUAAACUGGAGGUGGAAGGUCGAGGCUCAGACAAGGACAGUGACCUUGCUUCCCCCUCUUGACCUUAGAGUCAGAAACACGUUUUUAAGUGCUCCCUUGACUAACCGAUUUCAUCAAAGCAGAGCGCGUUAAAAAUUCCUGAGUACCAAGCCGCUCCCUGCUCUCCGCAGUAACACGUCUCCAGAAGGCUCUGUGGUCACCCAGCAGUUUCGUACAUUCUUAUUUAAGUCUUCUGUAAACUCUCAGGAGGAGAUAUUAUCUUCCCAUUUCAUAAAUGUGAAAACUGAGGUACAGGGCCCUAGAAUGACACAUUAGUCCGUGGUUAGGUUACAAGGUUCAUAAGAAGCAGCUCAACCUAGGGUUUACGUUUGAAUUUUUGUAAAAGGGAAGAUGAACAAAGAGGGAAAGAUAUUGAACGUGGAAACUGAGUUCUUAAAUAGAGGCAGGAUUUCAGUAAAAACCAUGAGGCUCCUGGGUUCCACGUGCCCGGCUCACCGGGGUGGUUCUCUUACAUGCGGUCACUUUGAGCUUUUUAUUGAGAGUGAGGGGGACAAACAGAGGAGCAGAGAUGCAGUGUUUCAUCCCACAUCUCAGCCUCAGAUGCCUGGUGGUCCUCCACUCAUGGGGCCCUUGCCUUUGGCUCCAACAAAAGGGCGGUGAGGGAAGCGGAGUCUGUCCUCUGCCCUUGGCAGUGAAGGGCUGGGUAGACGGGCAAGGCAGAGCUGUCCGCACUGUGCUUGACAGCCUUAGCAUUUCCUCCACAAACCUGCGAGAUAAUUCAAGCCAUUAAAUCAUCCCAAAUCACAUGCAGUGACUGUCAUUUUGCUGUGUGAACAUCUCACUGGCUGAGCACCUGCAUCUCAAUAGCCACGGUGCCCUAAUUUUCUUCCUCGGAGACAACAGAACCAGAGGUAAUGAGUCGGGGGAGGGGCCGAGUCCCAGGGACACACUCUCUGGGGGAGUCUCUUGGGCUUAAAUACAUCUAAAGCAGAUCCAAAAGAAAGUGGUGAUUACAGGCUAAUUUUCUGCCUGCGUUAUGUUGUGUCCCAUCAUCUACACCAACAGCAGUUGCUUUACGCCGGAAAUCUUUUGACUGAAUUCCUCUUAUUCGUAAAUUUUGUAUU
rnacentral:lncRNA from 1 species